AUCCGAAAGACUCUCGGCAACGGAUAUCUCGGCUCUUGCAUCGAUGAAGAACGUAGCGAAAUGCGAUACUUGGUGUGAAUUGCAGAAUCCCGUGAACCAUCGAGUCUUUGAACGCAAGUUGCGCCCGAAGCCAUUAGGCUGAGGGCACGCCUGCCUGGGUGUUGCACA
rnacentral:rRNA from 1 species